GAUUAACGCUGGCGGCGUGCAUAACACAUGCAAGUCGAACGAAGUGGAGGACGGGUGAGUAACGCGCGAGUAACCUGCCUUAGAGAAGGGGAUAGCCUUUGGAAACGAAGAAUAAUACUCUAUACUAUAAGAUGGACUUUCGUCUGAUUAGUUAGUUGGUGAGGUAACGGCCCACCAAGACAGCGAUCAGUAGCCGGCUUGAGAGAGUGUACGGCCACAUUGGGACUGAGACACGGCGCAGACUCUACGGGAGGCAGCAGUGGGGAAUUUUGCACAAUGGGGGAAAGCCUAAUGCAGCGACGCCGCGUGAUUUAGAAGGCUGUCGAGUCGUAAAGUUCUUUUAUAUGGGAAGCGGUACCAUAAGAAAAAGCCCCGGCUAACUACGUGCCAGCAGCCGCGGUAAUAC
rnacentral:rRNA from 1 species